GAGCUAAAGUUGCAGUGUGUCUGCCUAUCUACACUUGCUGUGCAGAAUAUCCUCCAACCUGUACAGCAGGCACAGACAGGCAGAUAAACAAAACAGAGCGC
ensembl:miRNA mir214 microRNA mir-214